UCUAUGAUUAUUUAGCAUGUGCUUUGUUUCUAACCCCCUGCUCUCCCUGCUCUCUACUCUGUCCUUCUUUCUGAGGAUGUCCUGUCUGGUAUUUCAGUGAAAGGAUUUGUCUGGUAACAGCAGCAUUCAAAAACAUUGCCUCCUACUGUGCACAAGGUCUAUCGUGUACCACAGAGCUUUCUCUUCUACCAGUAACAGAAACCUCAUAAAUUUUUAAUGGCUGCGAUUCAGCAUAUUCCUUACUUCAAAGGCACUUCUACAUUCUUACUGGAAUUUCUCUUCUUGAAGUUCACAGAGACCAACUAUGGUGUCCUUGGGUGAAAUAUGAGAUACGGGGACUGCUGGGUUCUUCAGGAUUUGCAACUUCCAGAUGUUUUACACAACUGUUCGAAAUUGAGAUGUUGGGUGUAUGGCUUUCAUUUGUUUUUUUCUACAGUUCGCUCUUUUGCUCCUUUGCCCCCCUUUCCUUUGUGUGGUAUUUGAGAUGGUUUAAGGUAAGGGCAUAUAUUGUCUAUCCAUUUUUAUUGUGGCUCUGGAUCCAAUCAGUGAUGCUAGUGGCUGAGUGAACUUCUAUGUCUAGUAGCUUUUUACAAGCUUCUUUACGCUG